AGAGUUCUGACCUCGUGUUGCUGAACCCUGCCUCCAGUCUUCUGAUUACUGGAUUUUCAUUGCCUGAGACCCUGGAUCAUUUCAACAACUCAGCCUCUGGCUGGAUUCCAGACCCCUGUGGAUCCCCCAUUCCUGACCUACCAGUGUGACCACACCCUGUGAAGCCCCCUCUACGCCAUCAUUUUUGUAAUAAAACGUUUGGUGAACUGUACACUUGUUUUGGGUUCUGGCUGAUUUUGCUUUAACAGCACAAUGAAAAUAGAUUAAGGGCGUUUUCAUCCGCAGAAAAUGUCAUUAUCUCUGCAUGCGGCGUUCUCCAAUACACAUUCUAAUUACAUUUCUGACAACACGUGUCACUUCUUUUUUUCCCCUCUCCCCCCCAUUUGCCCAUUACCGAUGUUAACAACUCCUGCAGACCCAUCAGCCAAUCAGGACACUGCACACAUUAGCAUAGUUCCCACCACACCAACAUUUGCAUGUGAAAGAUUUUUAGCUGUUUAAUGCUUUUCAAAUGUUUGAUAUACUCUCCACACAGCCCAUAUAUGAAGCAUGUGGGUCUUCUGCUCACAGUCAUUAAACUGUAGAAAUAUUGCCUGCAACCACGAAUGACUUUAAUAAAGAGGAAAUGGCUACCA